rnacentral:rRNA from 1 species
UACGUAGGAGACGAGCGUUGUCCGGAGUUACUGGGCGUAAAGGGUGCGCAGGUGGCGGCGCGCGUGGGGGGGUGAAAUCGCCCGGCUUAACUGGGCGGGGGCCUUCCAGACGGCGUGGCUUGAGCAGCGGAGGGGGACGUGGAAUUCCGGGUGGAGCGGUGAAAUGCGUAGAGAUCCGGAGGAACACCAGUGGCGAAAGCGGCCACCUGGACUGUACCUGACGCUGAAACGCGAAAGCUAGGGGAGCGAACGGG